rnacentral:lncRNA from 1 species
GGGAAUCUGUAUCACAGGAACGAGAAGAGAGUCGAGCUAUCCACAAGGAUGACAAGCACUCGCCUUGAGCUCGACACACAUAUCGUGAGGCAAAAGGAAUGUUGCAUAUGACACAUUGUAUGGUUCGUCAAUAUACCUUGUGGUUACUCGAGAGUUGGCACGUGCUGCUAGGCGCCGCUACCAACUAUCGACUUGAGUCGGUGCCAGUGGACGAG